GAAUAUUAUAUAAAUACAUUUCGGCAUACAAUAAUAUCACUAUCGUGGAUAUAACAUAGUUCCCAAAUGUAUGUUUUAUACAAUCAUUAAAAUAUCAUACUACUAAAUGCUCUUGGGACAUAUAUAUAUUAUAGUGAUUCUUGCUUAUUUACAUUGGUACAUAUAUUACUUAUAGAUUAUACAAUAGUAGAUGCAUCUUUCAUGUUGUGAGCACUCUCUUGAGCAGUCAUGAACAUCUGUUAAAUUAGAUUUUAAUGAUUAAAUAUUAGUAUUUUAAUAAUGUAAUUUAAUGAUAUUGUAAUAAAUUGUAAUAACUGUACAACAAUAUAUCCAGUAUAAUUUCGCAAGUGAGAUCGUGAAAGUGUACAAUGUACGUAGACGUUACCACUACUUCGAAGAAGUACAAUGAUUAUUUUUUGAAACACAAUAAACAAAGCAUAAAAGAUAAUAUAAUUUCUAUGCAUAUGGUUUGGGCCCAGACAUGUAUUGCAAGUUUUCACAGUGUAAUGUUGUGUCAAAACCUAAUCACUCCAACAUUUUCAAGAAUCUAGGAAACAUUUACCAAUCUUAUCCAAAACAUAUGUAUACACCACAAAACAAAACAAAAUGUCCAGAAAGCGCUUGUAUUAAACUGGGAAUAACGAUAAAAGAAAAUUACAUACAUAUAGUUCACUCCUUAUCAAUAAUGUAUACUAAUAGGCUCUUAUAAUGAUGAUUUAAUAGUGUAAUGUAGUGUCCAAAGCUCGUUACUUCGUUUAUAUUGAGAAAUUCAGGAAGUUAUAUCAUCCUUAUCCACAUCACACACAAACAAACACUGAUGUCUAUAAUCCAACAGACUUAACUAUGAAAGUGAACAGUGAGUAAGAAACAGAAGUUGCAAAGCACGCAAGUAAAAUUACAUGUAAAUUGACCUUAUAUCACAACAAAUAUUUUGGUUCCCAGAAAAUAGCAGCAGCAGAAGAAAUUUAAUAGCAACAAUAAAAAGGGUGGUCAGUAAUAGCGAAAAUGAUUUCAAUUGAUAUCAAAAUAACAACAAAAGUGUUUAACUGCACUUCAAAACAACAAUAAUCAUUGUAUCUAAUAGAAUUAAAGAUAUAGUAAUUAAACAAAAGCUUGUUCAAUGUAAUAUUUACUCAAACAAUAACAAAGGAAAGCUAGUCCCAUGAUAAAGCCUUCUACAAUAAUUGUAAAGUCUGAAAAUAUUUUAAGAAUGUCAAUAAAUAACACAAAAAUAAAAUAUAGUAAUUCUUACAUCAGAGGUAAAUCUAUAUUUGCAACCAAAAUUAUAUCAAUUUUUAUCUUGAUGAAGAAGUGUCAGAUUAUUCACAAAAGAAUGUCAGUUCAGAACAAAGUAUGUGAGAUAUCAAAAUUACAAGUAAAAGGGAAUAUAAUUAGUUAGGCAGUUCUAUUUGGGAGUAUAUGACAUGUUUCUUUGUUCAUCAACUCUUUCACUCAAAGAAUUCUCUAAAUUUCUUUAUAUCUCUUGUUAUUAUUUAUCCUUUUACGAGAGAUUCAACAAAAUAGAUUAAAGAAUAAGUAAAGUUCAAACAAAAGAGUUUGAAUAUGAACAAAAAAAAUCACAUUUAAAGCAACAGGACUAAGACUAAAGAAUCAGCAAAACAACCACAACUUUUUAACAACAUGUCAAAAUCAUUUAAGAAGAAAAGAAAGAAAAACUUCAAACAAGAAGAAUGCAAAAUAAGAGUAUGAAUUUAUGUGAUGAGUUAGUUGUUACAUUAAUUAACUUACUGCUAAGAAUACAUUAAUUAACUUACUGCUAAGAGAUCAAUGUUUAGAAGCACUUGCUCAACAUCAAGUUGCACACCCAAAUUACAUACCUUGGCCAUUCCUAUUCUUGUCUUAUUAUUCAAUAAACAACCUAUCACACUAAAUUACAUUCAAAUAAUUUUUAACUGUCAUUAUUACUUGAUUUAAAUACAUCCAGUUGCUUCUCAGCAAAAGAAAUACACAACAAGAUAAGUUCUAAAAAGUCAUUUAAGUUACACUUGACAGCUGUUCAUUCUACUAUAAAAAUUUAUAAUUUAAUGGUGUGUUUAAUCUCAUAAUUAUAUGUCAUUGAUGAUGAGAGUUCACUGUCAAUUAAUCAGUUUUUAUAACUUGAUAUUUCUGAAAUAGCUUUGUUAAGUUUGCCUCUGAAUAGUUAUGAACACUCUACAUAUUAGAGUAUAUUUACUCUAAUCAUUUGUUCCCCUAGUAUUGAGAAAAGGAGCCUUGGAGCAAGGUAAAGUUAUUUUCAUGUGACCUAUAAAUCACGAGUUCAAACCAUGAAAGCAACCACGAAUACUUAUAUUAGGGUAGUCUAUCUAUAUUACACCUAAGAGGGUGCAACCCUUCCUCAGACCCUACGUGAAUGUAGGGUGCUCUGUGCGAAUUGUCAUCUUUUUGUGCUCGAGAACUAUUAACUAUCGUACAUUAUGAGUGUUUGCCUUUCUUAUUGAAUAAACUAAGGAUGCGUAUUCCACCUUGUGUUGAUUCUUUAUGACACUUGUAUCAUGGGAUUAUAUUUUUCAUGUAGAUAAAAAAAGAGAAGAGCUCCUAUGUAUCUUCUCAUUUACCUUAAGAUAUUUAGAAUUUAGGUAGAAUGUUUGGCAGAACAUAAAGGCUUAAGAUUGUUAAUGUACUUCUUAUUUAAUAAAGAUUAUAAAUAAGAAACAUUUACAUAGGUAGUGGAGUAUGAAAAGAACCACAUUUUUAUUUAAGUGUUUGACAUCUGUAUUGAGCUUUCAUUUAUUUUAACAAUCAAUCCAGGGAGGGGAGGAUUUUCUAUCCCUCUGUCACUUCAGGACCCCUACUACUUACUUGUUCAUGUCAAUGUUCUCUUCUACUCCAAACUAAUCAUAUAUUUCUAAGUGUGUGGGAAUCACCUUUAUAACAAAUAAACAUUAUAAAACAAAACUCGAAAUGAAAUUAGAACACCUCAAUGACCAUAUUGAAAGAGUAGUUUUUGAAAUUUUGAAGAAAGAAUACAGACUAUGCACAUAUUAAAGACCAAAAAGAAAACAAAGAAAUGGUGAAGAACAUUAAAUAGAAAGUGUGUAGAGUAAUAUAAUAGCAACUUCAACCAUGAAGUUAGGAAAUCUAAUUGAAAAAAGUUUGGCAAAAGAUUGAGAUAGAAAUUCAUCUGAAAUUGUAAAAUUUAAGAUCCACUCCAGAUUUCAGAUUUAACAGUGGCUCUCUUUCUUUAACCUUAGUCAUGAAAUAAACAUGAUCCGCAAGAUUUAAAAUCUUAGUCAUGAUAUCCAAUCUCAGUUGCUUCUCAACCCAAAUUAUAGAAAAUAAAAUUUAAGAUCUACUCUGAAUUUCAGAUUUUACUAAUGAAGUUUUAAAAAAACUUAGUUAUGAAAUAAACAUGAUCCGUAAGCUUUUAAUGAAGCUCAAAUAAAAUUAAGUGAAGAAUAAAGAAUAAAGAAAUUACCUAAAAUUAGUAAAAUCAGAAGCUUUGAUGCAAUAAAUUUGGGAGAAGAUGAUUUUGUUUAUUAGAUUUCUUCGAAGAGACGAGAGAAGAUGAAUAAAAAAGUUUAUAUAAUAUGAAUAAAAAAGUUUAUCUAAUAGUAU
rnacentral:lncRNA from 1 species